ACCGCAUUAGCUCAGCGGAAGAGCGAUGGUUUUCUAAACCUUUGCGCCCAGGUUCGAAUCCUGGAUGCGGUUCCA
rnacentral:tRNA from 1 species